rnacentral:rRNA from 1 species
UAAUGUGAAUUGCAGAAUUCAGUGAAUCAUUGAAUCUUUGAACGCACCUUGCACCCUUUGGACUGCUCCAAGAGGGGUAUGCUCGUUUAGAGUGUCAUU